GCGCGUCACCGCCCUCAUUUCCGAUAGCCCAGAGCCCGGGAGUUGCUUUAGUGGAAACCCGGCAGCCGAGGAGUAGCGAGCGUGCAAUACAGCUCACAGGAGCGCCCGCCAGCCCGCCCAGGAGAGCGGCGGCCAGAAUAGCCAAAGCAGCAGCUGCAGCCGCCGCUGACUCCGCUGUGGGGGCAGCAGGAAUGAUGAGCACGGUGCGCGGCCGAAGUUGACUAGCCCUUGGCCGCGCCCCUCUAAGCUUUAGAGUUGGCUGUGCCUGCUGUGGGGGGGAAGGUGUCCGGUCUCAUCCCAGCCCCUGCUGCCACCCAGCAGCUGCAAUCGGAGGAGCCUCCUGUGCGGUGUGGGUGGGCAGUAGGAGCUUCCCCCGGAGACCCCCUCC